AAGAAGAAACACCGAAACAAAUUUGUACAAGUGCAGCAUUUGUGUAGCAUUUCUUUUGAUGUGUGUUUUGUGCAGAUGAAACAAACAUUAAAAUUUUCAGAGAUUUCUUUUAUAACAGUAAAUGUGUCCUAUUUGUUUCCAGCUCUUUGACAUUGGACAAAUUUUUAUUGUUGCUUGAUCAUCAGGGUGUCUGCGUUUGAUCUCGUGAAAGUUUCAGAAUGGGCCUGGCGCGGUGGCUCAUGCCUGCAAUCCCAGCACUUUGGGAGGCCAAGGUGGGCGGAUCACCUGAGGUCAGGAGUUGGAGACCAGCCUGACCAACAUGGAGAAACCCCGUCUCUACUAAAAAUACAAAAUUAGCCGGGCGUGGUGACGCAUGCCUGUAAUCCCAGCUACUCGGGAGGCUGAGGCAGGAUAAUUGCUUGAACCCGGGAGGCGGAGGUUGCGGUGAGCCGAGGUCGUGCCAUUGCACUCCAGUCCAGCCUGGACAACAAGAGUGAAACUCCGUCUCAAAAAAAAAAGUUUCAGAAUGAUGGCCAAAACAACAUUUCUCAUUUAGCAUAGUAACACAGAUCUUCGUGGGAGAAGAAAGGCCAUGUGAAGACACGGUGAGAAGACGGCCAUCUGAAAGUCAGGAGGAGUAUCCUCUUGAGAACUGAAUCAAGCUAGUACUUUGAUCUUGGACUUCCAGCCUCCAGAACUGCAGUGUUGGUCUGCAAGCUUCAAGAGCCAGUGACCCUGACUGCCAAGUGAUUUGCCGAAGGGAAUUAUGGUUUUGCAUUUGAUGGUUUCCAGGAACUGCUAAGAGUGAGAUCAUCCCUGAAGCAGUGACUGCCAGAGGAAGGCGAGAGACAUAUGGUGGCCUUACAGGUAUUCUUUCCAAAUCUAUAUUAAGAGAUUACACAGAAAAUGUCUGCAUCUAAAUAUAUGUCUCAUGAAAUAAAGUUCAUGAACCUUUUUUAUUUCCUCUUAUGACCUAUGAUUGGGAUUUUGUCUGAAUAUCAAUAGUGCCAAAAAUAAAUAUAGAACUGUUAAGAUCUCACUGCAUUAUCCAUUAUUAUAAGGAAAUUGUAGUAAAGACAUUAUGAGUAUAGAGACAAAAAAGUAGAACUUAUAGGAUUAAAAAUAAUGGAUAUUUUACAGUAUUUCAUGAGACCAAGAGACAGAGCGUGAAGAGUUCAUGCAGUCUGUGGGGCUGAGUAUCUUUCACUUCUGUUCUUCUUGCACUUUACCUAUUAUUCUCUUAACCCUGCAUACACUGCCUUCUUGUUGAAAAAAAGUCAUGAUAGAGGACAAUCAGAAGUUCUAUUGUUUAGAAAGUAAAUGAGGAAAAUGUGAAAGUUAGGUAUGUGAGAUUAAAUGUGGCCAGCAUGAUAUAGUAGAAGCAAAAAAAAAAAAAAAAAAAAAAAAA
ensembl:lncRNA novel transcript